UACGGAGGGUGCAAGCGUUACUCGGAAUCACUGGGCGUAAAGCGCGCGCAGGCGGCCCGUUAAGUUGGAUGUGAAAUCCUAUGGCUCAACCAUAGAACUGCAUCCAAAACUGAUGGGCUAGAGUCUGGGAGGGGAAGAUGGAAUUAGUGGUGUAGGGGUAAAAUCCGUAGAGAUCACUAGGAAUACCAAAAGCGAAGGCGAUCUUCUGGAACAGUACUGACGCUGAGGCGCGAAAGCGUGGGGAGCAAACAGGAUUAGAUACCCUGGUAGUCCACGCCCUAAACUAUGAAUGUUAGUCGUCGGGGGGCUCGUCCUUUCGGUGAUGCAGCUAACGCAUUAAACAUUCCGCCUGGGGAGUACGGUCGCAAGAUUAAA
rnacentral:rRNA from 1 species